rnacentral:misc_RNA from 1 species
UUUUAACACAAGACGAGGCCGUUUCAUCAGAAUUUACUACAAAUACGAAUAAAUACAUAAAUUAAGAAAAAUGUGCAACAAUAUAUUAGUAACUGCACAGUAGCCUGAGAAAGGAUUAGAAGUUCAAUGGUAUCGAAGUAAGCAAUCUUCAUCCCUAAGUGUAGUAAGUCGAGCAGAAACUGAUACACGCGUAUUCUGAUAAACGUAGAGAUGCAUGAUGAUUGAUUUAUGGGUGAAUGAAGCGCGUCCGUGUCCACCACUGAAUCUCUUCUGUUUUUUUCUUAUGAGUCGCGGAGACGAGCCUUGAUUGGAGAUGCAUGUCUACAUCAUUGUCUGCUAUCGUUGUGAUUUAGGCCCUCGACGAAGUUCAGAUCUAGACUUAGCUACUUCUACAAAAAUUACCCUGCCAUCCAGAAACUUGCCAUGCAUUCCCUCAAUUGCCUUCUGUGAUUCUUCCUCCGUAGCAUAACGAAUGAAAGCAAAUCCUCUUGGUCUGUUUGCUAUUUUGUCCAUCAUCAAAUUGACUUCAACGAGCUCUCCGAAAUGGUUGAAGGCUUUUCUUAAGCUUUCUUCAGUUGUGCGAAACGAGAGUCCGCUAACAAAGAGCUUAGUUGAGGAAUUGAAAUUGACCGGAGUCGCUGAGAAAGAAGACUGAGCAUAACAAGCUGAUACAAUUUGGGGAUAACGAAUACUUAUUAGUGAGUGUGAAGAAAGAAGAUGCUUCGAUUCUUUUCUAAUGGAAUACGAAGACAAUGGCAGCGUACUCCGGCGCUACUCUGUAUGCAAAGU